rnacentral:rRNA from 1 species
AAUGAACGUUGGCGGCGUGGAUUAGGCAUGCAAGUCGAACGGGCCGCAAGGCCAGUGGCGGAAGGGUGAGUAAGGCGACGGUAACCAACCCCUUGGUUGGGUAUAGCCGCGGGAAACUGCGGGUAAUCCCCAGCGACGUCCAGAGCGGGCAUCCGCAUUGGACCAAAGUCCUGGCGCCGAGGGACGGGCCGUCGUGGUAUUAGGUUGUUGGCGGGGUAACGGCCCACCAAGCCUAUGAUGCCUACCGGGCGUGCGAGCGUGGCCCGGCACACUGGGACUGAGACACUGCCCAGACUCUUACGGGAGGCUGCAGUCGAGAAUCUUCGGCAAUGGGCGCAAGCCUGACCGAGCGACGCCGCGUGGAGGAUGAAGGCCUUCGGGUUGUAAACUCCUGUCGAGGGGGAGGAAGGUCAGCAAUGGCUUGACCGAUCCCUGGAGGAAGCACGGGCUAAGUUCGUGCCAGCAGCCGCCGUAAAAC